rnacentral:lncRNA from 1 species
GUGCCUUGUGGAAGUCGGACAUCGGCUGCCACCCCUGAUAGUGAGUUGGUGAUGUGGGUUCGACCGUUCGACCGGUUGGAAGCAGUAUUGGUCGGUUUGGCCGGCAUACCUUCGGCCGGAUAUUGUCGGCAGCCAUUGUCGGCAGUCAUUGUCGGAGUCGUCAUUGGAGUCGUCCGUCGGUCAGGUAGAUAGAGUCGGACGUCGGUCGGAUCGGACC